UAUUCCACCAGGAAUAUUCCGCUAGGAAAGCAUAUAUCUCAUUAAUCCAACCUACGUUAAUGCAAAUCCACUCGGAUUGAAACGCUUUAAGAUAAGAGAGUGUUCUACAUGCUCAGUUACAGCAAAUAGUAACAUGCACGUCAAACGCUGGGAUAGCACAAGAAGUCUUUAAUGCGCCACUAGCAUCUAUUCCUCCUGGGUGGAUAGAGUAGGAAUCUGAACGUUUCACCUAACCAAUGAAGGCACUCAAAAGGAAUCUGAAUGCUUUCUGGAUGUCUAGGUGCACCCGGGUGGAAAAUUUGAACGCAGCCCUAUGCAGGACAGAGAGAUAAGCGAAGAAUCUUUUCAGCACUUCGGGAUAAUUGGGACAAUUUGCGACGGCAUGCCGAGUAACAGUUAAUACGGAACGUGUACUACAGGAUUCGAAACGUUCAAGAAGCCGCAAAUGAAUAUACGACGCGGAAGUAUAACAUUCAGGGCAUUUGAUGGUACCGCUUUUCCUAUGCUGGAAGAAUAGCGAAGAUACGCAACAUGCACCACGUGGAGAACGGACUAACCGCCAAGAUUUGAAUGUCGAUAGAUGCGCGCAAACGCAAA